AUGAACGCUGGCGGCAGGCCUAACACAUGCAAGUCGAACGGAGUUAUAUUGUAGCUUGCUAUGGUAUAACUUAGUGGCAGACGGGUGAGUAAUGUAUAGGAAUCUACCUAGUAGUACGGAAUAAUUGUUGGAAACGGCAACUAAUACCGUAUACGCCCUACGGGGGAAAAAUUUAUUGCUAUUAGAUGAGCCUAUAUUAGAUUAGCUAGUUGGUGGAGUAAUAGCCUACCAAGGCAAUGAUCUAUAGCUGAUCUGAGAGGAUGAUCAGCCACACUGGAACUGAGAUACGGUCCAGACUCCUACGGGAGGCAGCAGUGGGGAAUAUUGGACAAUGGGCGAGAGCCUGAUCCAGCCAUGCCGCAUGAGUGAAGAAGGCCUUUGGGUUGUAAAGCUCUUUUAGUGAGGAAGAUAAUGACGGUACUCACAGAAGAAGUCCUGGCUAACUCCGUGCCAGCAGCCGCGGUAAUACGGAGAGGGCUAGCGUUAUUCGGAAUUAUUGGGCGUAAAGGGCGCGUAGGCGGAUUAGUAAGUUAAAAGUGAAAUCCCAAGGCUCAACCUUGGAAUUGCUUUUAAAACUGCUAAUCUAGAGAUUGAGAGAGGAUAGAGGAAUUCCUAGUGUAGAGGUGAAAUUCGUAAAUAUUAGGAGGAACACCAGUGGCGAANGCGUCUAUCUGGUUCAAAUCUGACGCUGAGCGCGAAGGCGUGG
rnacentral:rRNA from 1 species